rnacentral:rRNA from 1 species
ACCGCGAACGGCUCAUUACAACAGCUAUUAUAUACUUGAUCUUGAUAUCCUACGUGGAUAACUGUGGUAAUUCUAGAGCUAAUACAUGCACCAAAGCUCCGAAUUUUUGACGAGCGCAUCUAUUAGAUUAAAACCAAUCGGGUUUCGGCCCGUCAAUUGGUGACUCUGAAUAACUAUAGCUGAUCGCAUGGUCUCGAACCGGCGACGUGUCUAUCAAGUGUCUGCCUUAUCAACUGUCGAUGGUAGUUUAUGUGCCUACCAUGGUUGUAACGGGUAACGGAGAAUAAGGGUUCGACUCCGGAGAGGGAGCCUGAGAAACGGCUACCACAUCCAAGGAAGGCAGCAGGCGCGCAAAUUACCCACUCUCGGCAUGAGGAGGUAGUGACGAAAAAUAACGAGACCGUUCUCUAUGAGGCCGGUUAUCGGAAUGGGUACAAUUUAAACCCGUUAACGAGGAUCUAUGAGAGGGCAAGUCUGGUGCCAGCAGCCGCGGUAAUUCCAGCUCUCAAAGUGUAUAUCGUCAUUGCUGCGGUUAAAAAGCUCGUAGUUGGAUCUGCGCCUCAGGACUUGGUCCGCCCACUGGGCGAGAACUGGGCUCCUGGGCUAGUUCUGCUGGUUUUCCCUACGUUGCCUUCAUCGGUCGCGUAGGGUGGCUAGCGAGUUUACUUUGAAAAAAUUAGAGUGCUUCACGCGGGCUUAUGUCUGAAUACUCGUGCAUGGAAUAAUAGAAUAGGAUCUCGGUUCUAUUUUGUUGGUUUUCUGAUCUGAGAUAAUGGUUAAGAGGGACGGACGGGGGCAUUCGUAUCGCUGCGUGAGAGGUGAAAUUCUUGGACCGUAGCGAGACGUCCGACUGCGAAAGCAUUUGCCAAGAAUGUCUUCAUUAAUCAAGAACGAAAGUCAGAGGUUCGAAGGCGAUCAGAUACCGCCCUAGUUCUGACCGUAAACGAUACCAACUAGCGUUCCGUCGGCGGUAAAUACGCCUUGACGGGCAGCUUCCCGGAAACGAAAGUCUUUCGGUUCCGGGGGAAGUAUGGUUGCAAAGCUGAAACUUAAAGAAAUUGACGGAAGGGCACCACCAGGAGUGGAGCCUGCGGCUUAAUUUGACUCAACACGGGAAAACUCACCUGGCCCGGACACCGUGAGGAUUGACAGAUUGAGAGCUCUUUCUUGAUUCGGUGGUUGGUGGUGCAUGGCCGU